UAAUUAUAAUCUAUUUAUUUGAAGAAAAAGAAAUUUAUAGCUAUUUAGCAAAUGCUGCUGAAGUGAAGAGGCACAGUGCCCUUUAAAGCAUCCUUUUCUUGUCAUUUUGCUUCGAGAGAUUAGAUGGUUUCUGUUUGUUUAUGCUGAGGAUUACAGAGAGUGAAGAAAAUAGUGAGAAGAGAAAAAUAGAGAGAGAAGAAACAUGGAUGAAUAGAUAGAGAAACCAAGAUUUUCUUUUUCCCUUCUGUCUACAGAAUUUACAGUUACUUCAAGAUCUUGAGAGGUUACCAUAUGUAAAAUGGAUUCUUUCGAGGCUGUAAAGCUUGUGCACGACAGAAUCUCAAAAUUGGAACCAGAACAUGUUGCUAGGAAGAUAAUUGGGUAUAUUUACUUGCAAGAUCUUCCUGACCAGGAAAUGAUAAGGUUAGCUUUAGGUCCUGACAGCUUAAUCCACAACUUGAUACAAAAGGCAAAAUCUGCUUUUCUGUUUGCUUCGUCGCCAGUUCUUUCACCUCCAAUUUCUCCUUCCAUGCCGAGCCCUAUUUCAGAUCCUUCUCUUCAGAUUUCACCUUUUUCAUCUCGCGCUGCAUUUCAAAAAGUAACUUCUUACUGGGAUCCUCAGUUACCUGCUGAACAGCCACCGCAGCCAAUGCCUAAUCCUGCUUUCAAACUUUUACCAUACGCUGAUUCAAUUCCCGAAGAUUAUGGUUACCAAAACCAAUAUAUUGGUUUGGACGAUCAGUUAGAACCCUUCAUUUCUGGAACUUCAGGUUUUCUGAGUGAUUUCUAUUGCCCAGAAGCUGCAUUUAGUGAUAUGAGUAAUAGGGGUAGUGGAAUUUCUUCGAAUCUGGAGUAUCCCGUUAAGACUUGUCACUAUUUCAACAAGGGCUUUUGUAAACAUGGCAGUAACUGUAGGUAUUUUCAUGGAGAAUCUUUCGCAGAGAGCUAUUCGCAUAUGUUUGGUCCUAAUUCCUAUGCAACUGCUAAUGAAGAUCAAGUUUUCUUGCCUGGGUCUCUUGAAAAAUUGGAACUUGAAAUCACUGAGUUAUUGAAAUCCCGAAGAGGCCAUCCGGUUUCAAUUGCUUCUCUGCCAAUGAUGUACUACGAGAGAUAUGGAAGAACUCUGCAGGCUGAAGGGUAUCUGACUGAGAGCCAGAGACAUGGUAAAGCUGGCUAUAGUUUGACUAAACUUCUUGCUCGACUGAAAAAUAGCAUCCGGCUUAUUGACAGCAGGCCUCAUGGACAGCAUGCAGUCAUACUGGCUGAAGAUGCCCCCAAGUAUAUGGACAUCCGGGGUGAAAGGAAUGACCCUGGCCCUAUUGUUAGCGGUUCACGUCAAAUUUAUCUAACUUUCCCAGCUGAGAGUACUUUUACAGAGGAAGACGUUUCGAAUUACUUCAAUACCUUCGGUCCAGUUCAAGAUGUGAGGAUUCCCUGCCAGCAGAAACGGAUGUUUGGAUUUGUCACUUUUGUGAGUGCGGACACUGUGAAGUUGAUUUUGUCCAAGGGAAAUCCACAUUAUGUUUGUGGGGCUCGUGUUCUUGUGAAACCUUAUAGAGAAAAAUCAAAGCUUAUGGAAAGGAAGUACCUUGAAAAAUUCGAGCAUCCAAUGUAUUACCACUCUCACCCUUUUGAUAUCGACCCUGAGCUUCAAGCGAGAUGGGAAUCUUCUAGGAUAAUUAGAAGGCAGCUCAUGGAAGAGCAUGAACAGGCCCUUGAACUCGAGACAAUGCGUCUUUCACAGCUCCGGCUAACACACAAACAUCUGGCAAGUCAGUCGUGCAUGGGUUAUCCCCUGGACGAGUUAAAACCACCUGAAGUCAAACUUGGGCAGAUCAUUCCAAAUUUACAUCGGUAGAGCGGUUCAAUUAUCUGAUUGAUGUUCUGAACAAUGGCUCUACUAGCCCUGAUAACCCCAAGUACUCGAUCAUCAAUUGUGGUGAGCAGGAAAGCCAUCAAGGACUCAAUCUCCCAGAGAGCCCCUUUGCAUCUGCAGCUAAUAGCAUUUCGGCCGUCAUAUAAAUUCAGGACAGAACACGAGUUUAUAGACUGCAGGUUUUAGAAGGCAACGUCUCUAAUCUGACAGAUUUUCCGCGUUACAAAUCAAAUGAAAGCUGCAAGUACAUAUCGGUAAAGAAGAAACACUUAGGAGCAUGUCCUCAUUACUCGAUCAAGAGGAGGUAGGAAAGAAGACAAUGAUAUACAGAGAAGUACAUAUAAGAAGUUUCGUUUUGAAAUCUCUAUCAUAGAAAGAGGAAGGAUAGAGCUUUGUCCGUAGAAAGAGAAUGUGAUAUAGGAGUCGAGUCUGGCUAUGAAAGAAAGUGGUACGUACAUAUGCAGGUCGCGGAGAAGUGAAAAUAUGUUUACAAUCUCUGUGAUAGAUAAAUAACUACUCAAUGAAUUGAGUUUCAUAUUUUGAACUUUGAACUAUCUUUUGAAUACAGAAAUAUAUGAUUACAUGGUUUUGUUUCUU